rnacentral:rRNA from 1 species
AACGAACGCUGGCGGCAUGCCUAACACAUGCAAGUCGAACGAGAUCUUCGGGUCUAGUGGCGCACGGGUGCGUAACGCGUGGGAAUCUGCCCUUUGGUUCGGAAUAACAGUUGGAAACGACUGCUAAUACCGGAUGAUGACGAAAGUCCAAAGAUUUAUCGCCAGAGGAUGAGCCCGCGUAGGAUUAGCUAGUUGGUGUGGUAAAGGCGCACCAAGGCGACGAUCCUUAGCUGGUCGGAGAGGAUGAUCAGCCACGGUGGGACUGAGACACGGCCCAGACUCCCGCGGGAGGCAGCAGGGGGGAAUGUGGGAAAGUGGGCAAACGCUGAACCCAGAAAUGCCGCGUGGGUGAUGAAGCCGUUAGGUUUAAAAAGUUCUUUUACCGGGGAUGAAAAUGACAUUACGGGGAAAAUAACCCCCGGCAAACUCCGUGCCAGCAGCCGCGUUAA